AGAGUUUGAUCCUGGCUCAGGAUGAACGCUGGCGGCGUGCCUAACACAUGCAAGUCGAACGGACUUUUGAUGAAACCUAGUGAUUUGAAAGUUAGUGGCGGACGGGUGAGUAACGCGUGGGUAACCUGCCCUAUACCGGGGGAUAACACUUAGAAAUAGGUGCUAAUACCGCAUAAGCGCACGGAGUCGCAUGACUUUGUGUGAAAAACUCCGGUGGUAUAGGAUGGACCCGCGUCUGAUUAGCUAGUUGGUGAGGUAACGGCCCACCAAGGCGACGAUCAGUAGCCGGCCUGAGAGGGUGACCGGCCACAUUGGGACUGAGACACGGCCCAAACUCCUACGGGAGGCAGCAGUGGGGAAUAUUGCACAAUGGGGGAAACCCUGACCCAGCAACGCCGCGUGAAGGAAGAAGGCUUUCGGGUUGUAAACUUCUUUUACCAGGGACGAAGGACGUGACGGUACCUGGAGAAAAAGCAACGGCUAACUACGUGCCAGCAGCCGCGGUAAUACGUAGGUUGCAAGCGUUGUCCGGAUUUACUGGGUGUAAAGGGCGUGUAGGCGGAGAAGCAAGUUGGGAGUGAAAUCCAUGGGCUCAACCCAUGAACUGCUCUCAAAACUGUUUCCCUUGAGUAUCGGAGAGGCAAGCGGAAUUCCUAGUGUAGCGGUGAAAUGCGUAGAUAUUAGGAGGAACACCAGUGGCGAAGGCGGCUUGCUGGACGACAACUGACGCUGAGGCGCGAAAGCGUGGGGAGCAAACAGGAUUAGAUACCCUGGUAGUCCACGCUGUAAACGAUGAAUACUAGGUGUGGGAGGGACUGACCCCUUCCGUGCCGCAGUUAACACAAUAAGUAUUCCACCUGGGGAGUACGACCGCAAGGUGGAAACUCAAAGGAAUUGACGGGGGCCCGCACAAGCAGUGGAUUAUGUGGUUUAAUUCGACGCAACGCGAAGAACCUUACCAGGAUUUGACAUCCCACUAACGAAGUAGAGAUACAUUAGGUGCCCUUCGGGGAAAGUGGAGACAGGUGGUGCAUGGUUGUCGUCAGCUCGUGUCGUGAGAUGUUGGGUUAAGUCCCGCAACGAGCGCAACCCCUAUUGUUAGUUGCUACGCAAGAGCACUCUAGCGAGACUGCCGUUGACAAAACGGAGGAAGGCGGGGACGACGUCAAAUCAUCGUGCCCCUUAUGUCCUGGGCUACACACGUAAUACAAUGGCGGUCAACAGAGGGAGGCAAUACCGCGAGGUGGAGCAAAUCCCUAAAAAUUGUCCCAGUUCAGAUUGUAGGCUGCAACUCGCCUACAUGAAGUCGGAAUUGCUAGUAAUCGCAGAUCAGCAUGCUGCGGUGAAUACGUUCCCGGGCCUUGCACACACCGCCCGUCA
rnacentral:rRNA from 1 species